rnacentral:rRNA from 1 species
GAUGAACGCUGGCGGCGUGCCUAAUACAUGCAAGUCGAGCGAACGGACGAGAAGCUUGCUUCUCUGAUGUUAGCGGCGGACGGGUGAGUAACACGUGGAUAACCUACCUAUAAGACUGGGAUAACUUCGGGAAACCGGAGCUAAUACCGGAUAAUAUUUUGAACCGCAUGGUUCAAAAGUGAAAGACGGUCUUGCUGUCACUUAUAGAUGGAUCCGCGCUGCAUUAGCUAGUUGGUAAGGUAACGGCUUACCAAGGCAACGAUGCAUAGCCGACCUGAGAGGGUGAUCGGCCACACUGGAACUGAGACACGGUCCAGACUCCUACGGGAGGCAGCAGUAGGGAAUCUUCCGCAAUGGGCGAAAGCCUGACGGAGCAACGCCGCGUGAGUGAUGAAGGUCUUCGGAUCGUAAAACUCUGUUAUUAGGGAAGAACAUAUGUGUAAGUAACUGUGCACAUCUCGACGGUACCUAAUCAGAAAGCCACGGCUGACUACGUGCCAGCAGCCGCGGUAAUACGUAGGUGGCAAGCGUUAUCCGGAAUUAUUGGGCGUAAAGCGCGCGUAGGCGGUUUUUUAAGUCUGAUGUGAAAGCCCACGGCUCAACCGUGGAGGGUCAUUGGAAACUGGAAAACUUGAGUGCAGAAGAGGAAAGUGGAAUUCCAUGUGUAGCGGUGAAAUGCGCAGAGAUAUGGAGGAACACCAGUGGCGAAGGCGACUUUCUGGUCUGUAACUGACGCUGAUGUGCGAAAGCGUGGGGAUCAAACAGGAUUAGAUACCCUGGUAGUCCACGCCGUAAACGAUGAGUGCUAAGUGUUAGGGGGUUUCCGCCCCUUAGUGCUGCAGCUAACGCAUUAAGCACUCCGCCUGGGGAGUACGACCGCAAGGUUGAAACUCAAAGGAAUUGACGGGGACCCGCACAAGCGGUGGAGCAUGUGGUUUAAUUCGAAGCAACGCGAAGAACCUUACCAAAUCUUGACAUCCUUUGACAACUCUAGAGAUAGAGCCUUCCCCUUCGGGGGACAAAGUGACAGGUGGUGCAUGGUUGUCGUCAGCUCGUGUCGUGAGAUGUUGGGUUAAGUCCCGCAACGAGCGCAACCCUUAAGCUUAGUUGCCAUCAUUAAGUUGGGCACUCUAAGUUGACUGCCGGUGACAAACCGGAGGAAGGUGGGGAUGACGUCAAAUCAUCAUGCCCCUUAUGAUUUGGGCUACACACGUGCUACAAUGGACAAUACAAAGGGCAGCGAAACCGCGAGGUCAAGCAAAUCCCAUAAAGUUGUUCUCAGUUCGGAUUGUAGUCUGCAACUCGACUACAUGAAGCUGGAAUCGCUAGUAAUCGUAGAUCAGCAUGCUACGGUGAAUACGUUCCCGGGUCU